CUUGUCUCUACUUAAGGCUUG
rnacentral:siRNA from 1 species